CUUUUUAAUAGUUAACCAGUUUUGAAUUUUUUGGGUCAUCAGUCAUCAAAGCUCGAUGAAUAUUGGUCACAGACACAAAGAUUUAUAUAAAAAAAAAAAAAGCUGAUUUCUCACUAAAAACUUGUUCUCUUUGUGAAUGGGCCUUUUUAAUCAGGAAGUAAAGGAUAAUCUUUGCAUGUGAGUGUAUGCAGGAGUAUCUCAGUGUGACCCUGGAAUCAGUCCUGGCCAAGAAAAUCACAGCAGCGUCACUGAUGAGUAGUGAUUCAAUUACAGCAGUGCAAGGUGUCCUUCUUUCUACCUGCCUUCCGGGUGAUCUCUCCCUCUCUCUAUCGCUCCUUCGAACUCUCUUCUUCUGGGACAAUAUAGGGGACUGGAGGUGGAGGCCAGCAGCUCUAAAACUACUUCUGGUACCAUGGAGCUGAUUGUUUAGGACGGCUUUGUCUUACAAAAGUAGGGAAUGUUCUUUCCCUCUGACCACAGUGUGGACGUGAACUCCAGAAAGGACAUGCCAUGGAGACAUUCUGGAACUGUUGCCUUGGAAACAGUAAUCAUGGCUUGAGCGAGAGGUGAAAUGGAAGACUUUUUUGAGGGUGGAAGAGUGUAAUCCCCCUCCACCUUGUUAUUAGAGCUGCAAUUGAGUCAAAGAUUAGGCAGAGAUGGAGACCCCAUUCCACAUCCGCCUCAGCUGUUCCCGAAGGAAGACAAACAUGCCCGACGCCAAUAAAACCGCAGCGCGACGCUCCCCCAAUGUCGCCGAACGGAUGAACUUCGCAGGGAGCCACAGAACCCUCACCAGCUCCCCACAGUUCUGGCUGCAGAUCCAGCGUGUAAUAGAAGACGGUGAGAAUUCAAUAAUCAUCAGAGUCUUCGUCUCCACAUGCUCUACUGAACAGGAAAAUAAUUACAUUUCUUUCGCUCUUUUUUUUGUCUGAGAUAAAUUAUGGAUCCCUUAUCUGGCUCCAAGGAUAAACCAAUCUGAUUCACGGGCCAAUUAACAAGCAUUCUUGCACCUCGACGGAGCGUGCUCAGUGUCUCAUGAUUGAGUGGCAUGCGCACGGCACGAAAAGAAGCAUGCGGCUUAUGCGAUUCUCAUAACACAUUCUCUAUCAAACGCCAUGCAUUUCCUUGCACAUAUUUCUAUUUUAUGAUUCUACGAUAUAUAAUAUAUCGCCCAAUUGAUGUUCAAUAUGUUUCAUGUUUUUUAUGCUCACCAUCUGUAUUCUGACUCUAAAACAAAAAAAUGGUUUCUUUCUUAGCUUCCACACCCCCCAUCUGCUCUUCUUCAUCUUACACCUGACUCAUCCUCACCUCCAACCUCACACUACAGAGAGGCUUUGGAUGAAGCAUAAUGAUGGGCAGACAGAGCGGCUCUGAGAUGUGGGAGAGGUUGUGUUCUGAGGGCACUCUUUUGGUGCGUGGCGCUCUGAAGCAGACUGCGUUUGAUCUCUUUGAAAUGCCACGGGUUAUUGUGUUUCUGCUUAAAGUGGUCUUACAGGAGACAUGUGGAAUUCUGUCAGCUCUGGGGCUGGUUUGGGAAAUGGUAGGGGAUUUUAAAGAAGGUGCUGUUGUGCUGUUCAUGUGAGCUCUAAGUCUGUAAACAUUAAUUUUUAAACUGUAUCAUACGCAUUUCAUAGUUCUUGUGUGAUAACACAGAAAGAGGAAAUGUUAUUAUUGAGAGCAAUAUGUGUUUUUUCCACUUUCAUUUCACACUCAUGUACACCUAGCCUACAGUACAUUAGGUUGGUGUAAAGGUAGAGGGAAAAAAACAAUAAAAAAACUAAAACAAAUAUUUCA
ensembl:lncRNA